CUACGGGAGGCAGCAGUGGGGAAUAUUGCACAAUGGGGGAAACCCUGAUGCAGCAACGCCGCGUGAAGGAAGAAGUAUUUCGGUAUGUAAACUUCUAUCGACAGGGAAGAAAAAAUGACGGUACCUGAAUAAGAAGCACCGGCUAAAUACGUGCCAGCAGCCGC
rnacentral:rRNA from 1 species